rnacentral:sRNA from 1 species
AUGCGAUGAGUCGACUGUGGCUAUGCCCAUGCGCUAAAGGAGAUCAUAACGCAGGAGCGGAUCUUGGCAAGUUGUGUGAACCUGCUUUGCCACGCUUUUUACAAAGUGCCUUUCCCCUUGUUUUAACAAGGGGCUUUUA